UACAGUGUUCACAGUGAUGGUGUUACAGUGAUACAGGGAUACAGUGUUUACAUGUUUACAGUGAUACAGUGAUGCAUGUUUACAGUGAUACAGGGAUACAGUGUUUACAGUGAUGGUGUUACAGUGUUUACAGUGAUACAGGGAUACAAUGUUUACAGUGAUACAGGGAUACAGUGUUUACAGUGAUACAGGGAUACAGUGUUUACAGUGAUACAGGGAUACAGUGUUUACAGUGAUGGUGUUACAGUGAUGCAGUGAUGCAGUGUUUACAGUGAUACAGUGAUGCAGUGUUUACAGUGAUGCAGUGUUUACAGUGAUACAGUGAUGCAGUGUUUACAGUGAUACAGGGAUACAGUGUUUACAGUGAUUGUGUUACAGGGAUACAGUGUUUACAGUGAUUGUGUUACAGGGAUACAGUGUUUACAGUGAUUGUGUUACAGUGAUACAGUGAUCUUCACCAUAACAGUCAACAGCU
rnacentral:lncRNA from 1 species